AUAACUUGAGGGAAAUUUACGUAUACUGAUGUUUCAAAUCAAAUAUUAAUUUAUUAAUGACAGCUAAUCAUUUAUAAAGAUUUUUUAUAACAAUAUGUAUUUAUAUAAUAUCAAUUUAAUACAUUUAUUUCGUUACACCUACAUCACUGAGCGCAAGGGAGUGCAGCCAACAAAUACAUUCAGGUGUGUUUGACUUAACACCGAGAUGCGCAGACAGCACGUGGUAUGACAUCAAGUACCGCGAGAGUUUGGGAAAGCCCCGGAAAAGGUUUGAACUCGCGGUACUUGAUGUCACGAUCGGUUUGCGCGUAGAUCAGCAUGAAGUCAAACACAUCUGAGAGAUGUGUGGGCUGCCUGCACUCAACGUUGAGAUCAUUCAAUAGAGUGUAACCUCAAUCGGUUUUUGCAGCUUCUGGGUCUCGUGUAGAACGAUUUUUUGUUCUUUUCCAACUCGAUUUUUAACUCCCUAAACUAGUAGGAUGUUCCAACGGGUGAAGCAACAGUGCUGACGGCAGUUUCAGUGUCAAGUUUUCAUGCCAUGACCACUGGGACGGAAACCAUUAUGACAUUGCCUUGGACAUCAAACUAAACCAUCUCAUUCUGGCUUUUGAGGUGGAUUCUAACCUCGAAAUCUCAGAAGGACAGGUCUAAGAUGGAUGCAGCCUCCAUAGGAUGCAACCUUGCAUUUGAGAAACACCCAUAGAACGGUCAACUUACCCCAUACUCUAACCUGAAUGCAGGGAUCAUAAAACUUUAUCUUUUACCUUAAUUGUUAGAUGGGUGUUGAUACCAAACUUUUUUUCUCGUCUACCCAGGAGAAAGUCAUGGGUUCUGCUGCUAAGGUUGUCAUAAUCGUCUUUUAUUCUGCUUACCUGACUCAUGCAGAAUUCUGGCUUGAUGUUUGGUCCACCUGUUAGCUGGCUCUGGUGCUUGGUAGUCUUCUCAAACCUCUGAAUCAAGACCACCAUGAGAGGCCUUCUGAAGACCAUCAUUACGCUUCAGAUCCAGUUGUCUUUACUAUGAGAUAGAACUGAACUGGAGUCUGUGAACUAAUGCUGUGUUCGAGACAACUUGGAUGUUGGAUAUUAUUGACCUCAAACCCGUAAGAAGUCUGGAACAGCAAACAAAGUUGAGUAUCAGACGUUGAACUAUUUUUACAGCACAUAUUUAUGAACAUGAAUGUUAAAUUAUCCAGUAACCAUUUUCUGCCAUAAUUGGCACAAGAGCACAAACUUCUCCUGGCGUCUCAUUAUGUGGUAAACACGCAAAUGUGAUACGUGAUUGACUGGAAUGCAUUGAGGUCGGAGGUAGGAUAUUUAAUGACAUAACAUCAGAAAUCCGAGUUGUCUGUAACACUGCACAAUAUUUCACAGAAUUGUCACCACCUGAUUAUCCUCCCAUGUUUUUAACACAACCAUUGAUUGGUCACAAAAAAAGAAAUCUAUAUUUAAUGUUAAAAAACACUUACUGUGUUAGAUAACUCUACCAUUUGUUCACUUAAGCUGACUUCCAAGAGCAAUGUUAAUGAAAAGUUCAUUUUUGUCACAGUUGCAAACUAACAACCACACAAAAUAUGAAGAAUAGCCAGAACUGUGGUAAUAAGCUAGCCCUAAAAUGUUGUGAGAAUCUUGAUGUAUUGGACACAGGUGUGUAGUAUCUGUUAUUUAUACCACGGGUCUGUUGAAUGCUGUAUUCUGAUUGGCUGAGAAAUGUUCCGUGGGUAUGCAUUAAUUUCUGAUAACCACACACCUAACUUGUCAAAUGUCUUAAAAAUAGGCACCAGAGCAAUGUUUGUGGUAACCGUGGUAUUAGAGGAAUAAUUGACUCCGGUCCUUUGAAUUAUUUGAAAUAAAGCACACCCGCAGUGUAACGGCACUCCGCUUCGCAUCGUGCCGCAUUGCACCUUGGGUGUGCAUUAUUUUCUUAUAAUUCAAUGGCCCGUCGUCAGUUAUUCCUUACAUAUUGACGGUUGACAGGUUUGUUUGCAUGUAAUUGCAUUAUUAUUAAUUUGGGGUUGAUAGUCCAAUGUCGAUUUUUUUU